rnacentral:rRNA from 1 species
CGUGUAGGCGGUUUUAUAAGUCUGAUGUGAAAGCCCUGGGCUCAACCCGGGAAGUGCAUUGGAUACUGUAAGACUUGAAUACGGGAGAGGGCAGUGGAAUUCCUGGUGUAGGAGUGAAAUCCGUAGAUAUCAGGAGGAACACCGGUGGCGAAGGCGGCUGCCUGGACCGAUAUUGACGCUGAGACGCGAAAGCGUGGGUAGCAAACA